rnacentral:lncRNA from 1 species
UUUGGGUUUUUUUUUUUUUUUUUUUUUGAGAUAGGCUCUGAUGUGUUUCAUGUUGACCUGAAUGUACGCUUUUCCUGCUUCUCUUCCAAGUACUAGGAUUAUAAGCACACUCUACCACAUUGGGUUUAUAUGAUACCCUCAUCAUCUAGGACUUCAUCCGUGUUAGACAUUCUACCAGUUAAGCCACAUUCCCAGCACUCCUCUUGUCUCAACCUUGUAUGUAUGUGUGCAAGCACGUGAGUGCACAUGCAGCUGCAUUUGUGUGGCGUCUCUACAUGUUUAUCUUCUUCAAUCCCUCUUUACCUUUUCUUUCUUGGCCUGGAUCAGCUCUAUGAUUCAAGGAGCCGAGCUAGCCAGUAAGCUCCAGGAUCCACCUGUCUCCUCUUUCCUAACAUUAAAGUUAUAGAAUGCUCCACCAAGCCUGGCUGCUUAGUAGGUGCAGGGAAUCUGAAUUCCAGUCCUCACAGUCAGGCUUAACUGACAGCCACUUUCCUGCUCUUCUUGCCUCAGCCUCCUCAGUGACAGGAUUACGGGGGGAGUCCCCGUAUUUGGCUUAGUGUCUUCAUUUGAUAGAUACUAUGAAUGAGGUGAACUAUAAAUAUUUGGUUUAUGUUUCUGUAAGAGUGUGUAUUAGUCAGGGUUCUCUAGAGUCACAGAACUUAUGGAUAGUCUCUAGAUAAUAAAGGAAUUUAUUGAUGACUUACAGUCGGCAGCUCAAUUCCCAACAAUCGUUCAGUCACAGCUGUGAAUGGAAGUCCAAGGAUCUAGCAGUUACUCAGUCUCACGCAGCAAGCAGGCGAAGGAGCAGGAGCAAGAGCUAGACUCCCUUCUUCCAAUGUCCUUAUAUUGUCUCCAGCAGAAGGUGGAGCCCAGAUUAAAGGUGUGUUCCACCACACCUUUAAUCCCAGAUGAAAGGCGUAGCCCAGAUUAAAGGUGUGUUCCUUAAACUCGGAGAUUCAAUCUUCUGGAAUCCAUAGCCACUAUGGCUCAAGAUCUUCAAACCAAGAUCCAGAUAAGGAUCUCCAAGCCUCCAGAUAAGGGUCACUGGUGAGCCUUCCAAUUCCGGAUUGUAGUUCAUUCCAAAUAUUGUCAAGUUGACAACCAGGAAUAGCCACUACAGAGUGUGUGUGUGUGUGUGUGUGUGUGUGUGUGUGCGUGCAUACAUACAGGUGGAGACCAGAGUUCAAAGCCAGGUAUCUUCUUCAAUCACUUUCCACCUUUUCUUUUUUGAAACAGGUCUCUCAGUGAACCUGGAGCUCACUGCUUUGACUAAACUAACUGGCCAGUGAGCCACAGGGAUCCAACUGCGUUCAUCUCCCCUGCUCUGGGAUUAAAGACUCACACAACUAUGCCUGCCUAUUUAACACGGGUGCUGGGGAUCAAAUUCAGAGCCUCAUGUUUUUUUGGCAAGCACUUUACCAGCUGAGCCAUCUUGCCAGCCCCUUCUUUCAUUUCUUUGAAGUAUGUAUGUAUGUAGGAGUAGAAUUUCUGGGGCAUAUGGAAGUUCAUAUUUAUGUGUCUGUAUAUGGGUGAAUGUGCAUGUGGAGGCCAUAGAUCAACACUGAGUGUCUUCCUCAGUCACUCCCUACCUUAUUUUUUGAGACAGGUUCUUGAAUCGAGCCUGAAGCUCACUAAUUUGGCUUUUCUGGUAGGCCACUGAGCUCUUGGGAUCACCUGUCUCUGUCUCCCAAGUGUUGGGAUUAUAGACGUUCCCCAUUGUGCCCAUCUUCUUAUGUGGGCCCUGGCUAUCUGAACUCCGCUCUGUCACCCUAAAGCUGUAACUACUUUAUGGACUGAGCCAUUCCCCCGGCCCCUAAUUUUUCUGUAUUCUCCAGUGAUCGCAUGAUUUUCAACUUAUUUCUCAAAUGAUUGAUCAUGUUGAUUACCUUUUCAUGUGCUUGUUGGUUAUUAAUUUAAGUAUCUUUAAAAAAGAUUUUUGAUUAUUCUUCUUUGUGUGCACAUGGAAUGCACGCGCAUCCCUCCCAUUUUGUGCGUGGAGGUCAGAGGAUACUUUAGGAGUCAGCGCUCUCCUUCAGCGUGGGUUCCAGAGAUUGGAUUCAGGCUGUCGUGCUUUGCAGCAAAUGCUUCUAUUCACUGAGUCAUCUCACCAGCCCCAUAAUUUAUGUCCUUUUAUGGAAGUGUUUUGUUUGUUUGUUUACCAUGCUUGGCUGUUUAGAGUGUUUUUUGUCCUUUGUUUGUUUAAGAUAAGGAGGCACUGAAUUGUUGAAUUUGGGUCUAAGCAGUGGUGCAUGAGUCGCUCAUUUAAAGGAUUUCAUAUCUGAGGAUAACAAUAUUUUCACCAUAUUUUAUCUUCUAUUUUUUUUUCUUCUUAGCAUUUCCCCCACUGAUUUUUUUCUUUUUUAGUUAUGACUUAGGUCUGGGAAUGGUAGACCUGUAAUAAUAGCAUUUUGGAGGCUUUAUAAAUUUGAUGCUAGCUUGGGCUAGACCCUUUCACAAAAUACUGCAAACAAAACAUUGUGUUUAGGUCUGUGGCCUAGUCUGCGAGUAAUAUUCUCCUUAUGGUGCAAACUGCUAGUCGGUGGCAGGGAUCAGAAAGUACCAGAUUGUUCCAGGGGACUGAAGUUUCUUUUAGGAAAUGUGCUAUAUUGUUACAUACACAACAUGUAUAUUCCUUAUUGUGUUGUCUUUGUGGUUUAGUGUUAAAAUAGAAAAUAAGAAAAAUCUUAUUCUAAUAGACUUUC